rnacentral:rRNA from 1 species
UACGUAGGGUGCAAGCGUUAAUCGGAAUUACUGGGCGUAAAGCGUGCGCAGGCGGUUGUGCAAGACCGAUGUGAAAUCCCCGGGCUUAACCUGGGAAUGGCAUUGGUGACUGCACGGCUAGAGUGUGUCAGAGGGGGGUAGAAUUCCACGUGUAGCAGUGAAAUGCGUAGAGAUGUGGAGGAAUACCGAUGGCGAAGGCAGCCCCCUGGGAUAACACUGACGCUCAUGCACGGAAAAGCGUGGGGGAGCAAAACAGGG